UUAGUGAAAGAAAAAAUUUCAAAAGAAAAAGGAAACUGAAGAAAUUAAUUGUACCAGAGCAGAAUCCAGCGAAGAACACAGAUAGCAUAUGUAACAGUGCAUUCCUGUAAUUAUGAGGGGGGAAGCACAGACAAGAGCAGACAACAAGUAGCAAGAGCUGAAGGUGAGGUAGCUACUCAUUUCAUCUGCGAGGAGGAGGUGGGGACCAGCAUGAAACCCAGGCAGAGAUGUGGCCAGAGUGGCAACUAGAAAGGAUAUUUUUACCAGCAAUGUUUCAAACCAACUCUAACUCUGAACGGCUUCCCGAAGAGCACUGAGUUUUCUAUACCAGAUUCUGCUCCAGUGGCUAGGACCUUUAUGGCUGCUGUUUCUUUUGCUCUGGGCUCUGAUGGAAGAAAAAAAAAAAAAAAAAAAAAAAGCCACCGUGGAUCCCGUCCCUAAAGUAGAAAUUUUCUUUUUCCUUCUGCAAACAAGGCUAAAGAUCGGAGGAGAAUGAAUACGAAAGUAAUUUGGGAUCGUGGUCGUGCCAUUAAAAGUGUUCGGCUUCAGAAAGAAAUUGUUUGGGAAAUCCGAUUAUUUCUUCUCACUGUAUCGACAGUAUUUGAAAGUUGUGUGUUCUUUGAGUAAUCUGGUGCAAGUGACAACAAUCUCCGCAUGUCAGUGUUUUCUACAGUUUAUGGAGCGAAAGCUCGCUUUGCCAUUGAAAGGAAGAAGCUUUUGCUAGCAGUCUGUAGAAGGAUUAAAUGUUGAACGUGGGGAAGAGGCAAAAAGUGAAUACACGCCCAGAGGUUAUCCUUGCAUCGAGAAGGGCUCUAAAGUACUCUGUAACCUAGGGCCCACCUGAACAGGAGGACUGAAAGUAUAAAGGGGAAAUAUUGCAAUUAGAAACCCCUUCACAUGCAUUUAAUCCUUCUUUAAGGCAUUAAAGGAAAUAGAAUCAAAUCGUUACUGUAUGAAUCUGCUGGAAGAAGCAGGUUUUAACCCAUUUUUAGACGCUUCCUUCCGAUGCAUUGUAAUAUGGCUACUUGUGAGUCAAGGCAGUGAAGAUUUUUGCUGUGCUCUUUCUUUUUGCUUUCAAAAGUUAAGGACUGUAAGAAAAGUCUGUUCAGUCAGCUGAUACAUUGUCUUGAAUGUAUGUAUGUGUCUUGCCUGCUUAUUUGAUCUUUUCUGCCCCCUACGUGAAAGUGCCUUGUGUUUAUUUGGGUGGGAGGAGGGGUUGCUGA